rnacentral:rRNA from 1 species
AAUUUUGGUCAAUGGGGGAAACCCUGAUCCAGCCAUCCCGCGUGUAUGAUGAAGGCCUNGGGGUUNUNAAGUGCUUUUGGCAGAGNCGAGAAGGUAUCCCCGAAUACGGGAUACGGCUGACGGUAUCUGCAGACUACGCACAGGCUAACUACGUGACAGCAGCCGAGGUAAUACGUAGGUUGCAAGCGUUAAUCGGGAUCACUGUGCGUAAAGUGUGUGUAGGAGAUGCGGAGAGAAAAGUGUGAAAUCCCAGGGCUCAACCUUGGAACUGCAUUUUUAACUGCCGAGAUGGAGUGUGUCAGAGGGGGGUAGAAUUCCACGUGUAGCAGUGAAAUGCGUAGAUAUGUGGAGGAAUACCGCUGGCGAAGGCAGCCCCCUGGGAUAAUACUGACGCUCAGACACGAAAUCGUGGGGAGCAAACAGG